rnacentral:rRNA from 1 species
AACGAACGCUGGCGGCAUGCCUAACACAUGCAAGUCGAACGAGACCUUCGGGUCUAGUGGCGCACGGGUGCGUAACGCGUGGGAACCUGCCUUUAGGUUCGGAAUAACUCAGAGAAAUUUGAGCUAAUACCGGAUGAUGUCUUCGGACCAAAGAUUUAUCGCCUUUAGAUGGGCCCGCGUUGGAUUAGCUAGUUGGUGGGGUAAAGGCCUACCAAGGUGACGAUCCAUAGCUGGUCUGAGAGGAUGAUCAGCCACACUGGGACUGAGACACGGCCCAGACUCCUACGGGAAGCAGCAGUGGGGAAUAUUGGACAAUGGGCGAAAGCCUGAUCCAGCAAUGCCGCGUGAGUGAUGAAGGCCUUAGGGUUGUAAAGCUCUUUUACCCGAGAUGAUAAUGACAGUAUCGGGAGAAUAAGCGCCGGCUAACUCCGUG